AUUUUUUUUUUUAAUAGUGCUUUGAUAUCCCAAAAGACCUGCCUCUUGUUUUAUGGAAAUGCUCAAAAUAAGAAUUUGAUAUAUAGAAGAAAUGCCUCUUAUUCCCCAAGCACCUUAGAAGUUGACUGAAAACCAACGUGCAACGAUGUGGAUACAGCUUUAGGCUUCGCCUUGGUGUCUGUACUUUUCAUUAAAAAUUGUUGGCAGUUUUACAAGCAUAAAUCCAAGGUCUUCAGACAUGUUUUUUCUGCACAGCCUUGCAUCUUACAUGUCAUUAUCUUAGUCUACAUUUUUAAGGAACCGAGUCAGUAAUUUUUACUAUAUCAGAACAUAUAGAAAAUUUGUCAUAUCUCUAAAAUCUUUAAAUUGACACUUUCUCAGUUUCGAUUUGGUUUGUAUUUUGAAGUUUACUGACUAUUUUACUCAUAGCACGAACUAUAUUUGCUAAAAUUAUGCCAAUAGAAAUACCAACAACAAUGUGUGCUCUGAGCAAUGUGUGUAAGUUUCUAAGAAGAUUAUUCAGUGCAAGAAGGAAGAGAUGGGGCAUGGCAAGAAGGCAGCCGAUAGACACCUCUUCACUGCCUUUUUCCAAAAGUGGAGAUAAUAAAACCGAACUUUGGUUGAGUCUGGAGCCAUGUAUAUAAUAAACUGUUCCUUGUUCGACAGUUGUAAUGCACACAGAUCCUCUAGCAAGGACAGCUAAGUCCUGCAAACAGUCACUCCUCUGUCAAUACCUCACUUCACCAUGCUGUGCUUGCAGUUUGCCUCGAUGGAGAAGCCUCUUUGAAUAAAAAAAGAAAGAAGAGGAAAAAAGGAAAAAGAAAAAAAAUAGAAAGACAAGGUGGAUUUUCAUGGAAGAAAAGAAUGGCUUUCUAUAGACUUCUUCCUCUCUUGUACUUGUCAGAAGCUUUUCUAGAACUAGAGAUGACCAGAAUUGACAGUGCUGAAGAUUCCUAGGUCACACCAGGUCGUGCACCAAACAUCUGUGUUCCAGCGGUGUGAAAACUUGCAGCCAAGGUAGCAUAGCACUCACGGAGGCCUUCAAGAGAGCAUAGCACUCACGGAGGCCUUCAAGACUCUGAUUAUGUACUUUUUUUUCCUGCUUUGUGUGUGGAUACUGUUUUAUUAGACAUAUUAAUUUUAAUUGUAGUGGGCUUUUUCUCCUCUCUCUUUUAAGAAAAUGCUGUCUUAACGCACAGAAAAUUGCUUCCAACAUGUUUUUUUUCCUUAAAAAAUUGGGGGGAAGAUCCGUCUCCUUUCCUAGCUAGAACAGUUCUAGUCUUCAGUGACAGUUUAUAUGGCAGAUUCAACUUGGGCGAGUGAGGCCUGCUGUGUGUUGACUUCAUCGAGACGACAAUCUCUGUGCCAUUUGGUCUGAAUGUAUUCUUGGUAGGCUCAAGUCAGUCACUUCAGUUUGUCUCUGUAACUCUUUCUUCUUCACACAUAAUUAUACUACCUGGGUGUUUGUCAAAAAUUCAUUUUUUUGAAACUUAAAGUGUUAAUUACUUAGGCUCUAACUUGACAGAAGAUAUUUCAGGUCCAUAGAGGCUCACUUUGUUACAGAUAAAUGCUUUCCUUUCCUAUUAAACACUGAAGUAAGCUCACUCCUCGAUGCCAACAUUACAGUGAAAAGUUUUGUACUGUUUUCCUGUACACAUGUGGGUGGCAUUUUGCCCCCAGAGAUAUUCCAAAGAAUCACCUUUGUUCUUCUGCUAAUCCAAGUGCCCUUGUAUGACUGAAAUACCAGACAUUAAAGAAACCCUUGCUUUUCUAGGCAACCAGAAAAGAAAAGAAUUCACUGCUAGCAGUAUCUUUUCUUGCAUUUGAGAGCACUUACCUUAGAAAACUGUGUGUACAAAAUAGCUUGUUAGACUCACUGAACAAGUAUAAACCACCAUCAUGCUUUUGUGGGGUCUUAUUCCUUUAUUAAGACGGCGUCUCCUCGAUUUGCCCACACUGGCCUCGAACUUGGAAUCCUUUUGCAUCAGCUUCCACAGUUGCUGGAGUUAGAGGUGUGUGUUAGCAGGCUCAGCUUGUCUUUUUGUUUGUUUACUUUUUGGUUUUGUUUUAAUAUAGUGGUAUCUCCCCCUCAGCUUAAACAAGACCAAAGAAAACUUGUCUUCAUUAAAGCAUUAUUUUAUUCUGAAAAUAUUCCUAGGUGUUAUCAUUGUGAAAUGGAGAGAAGUGUUCAUACGUGGGAACUGGCAUUACCAGGCCUGUAGUAGAGUCCUACUUUAUUGGAUAAGGUUUUCCAGAGCAGACUGUUAAUUCUAUGGACAGUUACAAAAUCUGGUUAAUAAAUUAAAACCAAAGGGCUUUUCCUCUACUCUUGCUUCUGAUCCUUCUAGCAUAGCACAUUGUUUCUCCUUUCAUAGGUAACACGACAAAUAGGAAUUGUUUAUUACAUUGAAGUGACUUGAACUGACCUUUGUGCUUUAGAUGUAAGAUACUAAAAACAAAACACUGGGUCUGUUACCGCGAUGCCUGACUUUUUAAAUGCUAUCAGAUUAUAAGCAGUUGCGUGGGCUUCCCGUGGUCACUGCUGUAGCGGGUGCCUUCCUGGUCCUUUGUUGACUUGCCUUAAUGAUUUACACAGAAGCCUUCGAGCAGAGGAAGCUUCCUGGGGCCUACUGCAGUGUGAUGAAGACGUUUUAGGUUCAGUGUAAAGCAAGCUUGUGUUCUGUACUGUUGGAGACAGAUUCGUUACAAAUGAUUUUCAUACCUGUCUGAUUGAUAUCAUUUUAAGCUCUGCUCUAGGUGUGGCCCACUUUAGGUUGUGAAAUGUAUCGUUUUUUCCUAUUAUUACUGUAAAGAGAAGUUGUGAAUCUUCUUGUUGAUGAACUCUGAUUUUUCUCUCAAUUUCUUAAAACCAUGCUUGAAGAUUGUCUGGGUGUGAGACUGCCUUCUCAGAAAGGGAGAGUUAGUUUGUAAUAUUAAAGAAAUAAAAUCUUCCUG
rnacentral:lncRNA from 1 species